rnacentral:lncRNA from 1 species
AGGUGGAAAUACCUUUUUAGCAAUACAUUACUGCGCUUGAGAGAACGCUUUAUUUUCAGCGGGUUAUACAUAUAAAAACAGUGGUGUUAGGUUAGAAGUUGAAAUUCAGACUUUAUUUUAGUGUAUGUGAACUUUUUUUGACUAAAAUUCCGUGUAUCGAACAAUGUUUUCAGCGGCCCAUGACCCGUGGAAACUACACCCUCAGUGGCGGAGUUUCGUAAAAUCCGUUCUCAGUAUUUCCAAAUGUUAAAAACAUUCCUGACAUGUUCCUGAGCUGGGUAAGUCCUGCUGUUGGAAAAUUGGAGUGUGCCUCUGAUUAUGACUACUAUCAAAAGACCCAUAAGACGACCCACUUACCAAGAAAAGGGUUUGCAUUAUCCAUUUCACUGAUGAAGACAGAAACUGCUAAAACCGGUUUAAUUCAGCAGCUAUUCCUUCCCGUCAUUUACCAGGUUCUUCUGCAAGUCAGACAGCGUCGGAGCAACCCUGAACACAACAUUUCCAUCAAGAUACUAUACAAAGCAUUCCAAAGGAGGGUUGACGUCAGGCAGGCGGCCGGUUAUAAAAAUAUAGCCAAAUCUAUGUGCAAUAUAUCCAGUAUGACGUGAGUUAUAGGGCUAGGGCGUACCCCCCAGACGACGCGCAGGGGCAUCACCAGGCCCCUGUGGGAAGUGGACAAGGGUUUUUUGCACCAACCCGGGUGGGGGCAAUGUAAGAAGUGAGCCCGGGAAGUAUGCAAGUUGGAAGUAUGACAUCUGACAGAGAGGAAUGGAAGAAAAAGACAUGUUGCGCCGACCCCAAAUGACUUGGGAACAGGGCAGGAAGAUGAUGAUGAUGAUGAUGACUAUACCACUACCAGAAGGCUCUUCUGCAAGUCAGACAGCGUCAAAGCGACCCUUAACACAACAUUUCUAUCAAGAUACCACUACCAGAAGAUGCCCAGUGGAGUUUGUACUCAACUACCUCGAAGCAAUUGUUGAUGGAGCAUAAAUUAUUCUAUCAUUAGCUAGACAAGAAUAAAGACUGGCAAAGGUGCAUCCAAAACUAAUCGAGCCCAUGUUCGACCACUGUGCACCAAGAUCAAGCAUCUUCGGACCGAGAUAUCGCGUCUUCUCAAAAGAGGUCGAAUAUUUAAAGAAAGACUACGGAAUGUACAUUGUGUACAAAUGGUUCUUCCAACCUGCAGACAGACAUGUGUUGCUGGGGAGUUUGUUGCGCCACUUCUUCUUCCCAGCAAAAACACAUAGGAAGUAGUGAAGGUUCAAAAAGUCUUGCAGCCAAGUUUGAAUAAAUGAUUUUUGAUUUGAUUGAAUGCUGAAACACUCUUCGAGAAGGCAUCGUUCCUGCACGUUACUCAAAAUUUGACAAAACCGCCCCAACGCUUCCUUCACAUGCAAUUACAAACUCCAAAGAGAUAAAGGACGAAGGUUUAGUUUAGAAGAAAAGGUAUAGGCAUUGUCUCUGCACAAAAAACGUCCAAAAUGUUAUGGACUUUUUUAACCUUCGUGAAAAACCAUGAUACUCAUGAUAUUCAGCAACAUAAAGAUCGCCCCUGGAAUUACAAAAUGAUUUUUGAAAAGUUAAAUAAAACUGUACAACGCUUCAACGCUGUGCGUUGUGCGUUGUGAAACUUGGACGCUAACUAAGCAGGAUAUAAGCAGACUGGAGGCUUUUGAGAUGUGCUGGAAGAGGAUGGAGAGAAUUAGCUGGACGGAAAGAGUUACUAACGAGGAAGUACUUAACAGAGUAGGAACUAAGAAACAACUAUUGCAAAAUAUAGAGAAUAGGAGAGGUAAAAUGAUGGGACACCUUAUACGUCAUGACGAUUUUGUCAAAAACAUCGUGGAAGGGAAGGUCGAAGGAAAGAGAGGAAGGGGUCAUCCAAGGUAUAGCUAUAUCAAGCAAAUUAAAGAAAAGGUGAAGGUUGUGACGUAUAAUACGAACAACAAAUUCGUUGAAGCCAACCCGGACUGCGAUAUAUUUGAAGAUAAAUUUGUCCAUAUAAUGAGAGUAUGCCUAAAGUUUUGUGAAAACAAUUUCUAAUUUUAUUAUUCGUUACUAACGUGUUUUUUUUACUUUAUUUUCAUUUUAUUUUAUUUUUUAAUACUAUUUUUACUUUAGUUAACUGUAUUUUUUAGUUCUUUUUUUUUUCAUUUUAAAUUUAAGUUUACGAUUUAUGUAAUUGGCUGCUAAAGCCGUGUAAGUCGAAUAAAUAAAUAAAUAAAAUAAGGAAGUUCAGGAGUUAGCGCUAGAUAGUUGUAAAUGGCAGGAGCUGCACCGACAAGAGCUGGGCUCUUAAAUUAAUGAUGAUAAAAAAAAACCUGUUUUGCAAUUAGCCAAAAUGGAAAGACAGCCAGUGUUCAGGUGAUAAGAUCGAUGUUGUUUGGCGUUAUUUUUCUAUGGAACAACGUGUGGCUUGCUCAAUUAUCUAUUGGACACUGUUCAUUAUUAAGUUCAUGUAAAAUGUUAUUUGUAAUUAAAUUUUGAAAUUUAUUGAUGCCAUUUUAUAAUUGUUUUUAGUUGUAUAAAUAAGUUUAUUUUUACGUCAUGUAAAUAUGUACAAUUUUGACAUUAGUUUCGUAUUAGCACCAAGUACACCGACAAGAUAAGCUAGUUUUCUUAAAACAACUGCUUGUUUACUAUGAAUUUUCAGUUAAAAUUUUCAAAGUAAACAUUUAUUUUCAGAAAAACGCGCACUUAUGUGGUCAGUGAACUUGGGCUUACUUUGAACGAUUUCUAAACGAAAAAUUUUGCUUACAUCUCACCAGUGCGAGAAAAAUUUAAAUAAAACUACUUAUUUGAUCACGGUAUGGGUAGACAUGUCUGUCUGACGCGUCGAAACGACGAAAUUAAAUAAUAUUAAUAUAACAGCGAUAAAAUCCGUAAAAGUAGUUUUGUUAAAAUGUCUUAUAUUCGCGUAAGUGUUAGAAAGAAAUGUAUGUAUAUAGGUAUACUAUAGAUGCUUAAAAAUGUCGUGUGAAAUGUUGUAGAUUUUGAAAGGGACAAAUAAAGCUAACUAGAUUAAACUUA